rnacentral:pre_miRNA from 1 species
UUAACUCAAAUUCGUAUGGAGUUGGAACGUUUGCCUACGUUUGCCGCUAGGGGCGCUGUUCCAACUGCAUACAAAUAUGAGUUA